rnacentral:miRNA from 1 species
CCAGGCUCUGCAGUGGGAACU